ensembl:lncRNA TNS2-AS1 TNS2 antisense RNA 1
GGAUUGCAGCACAUGGGCCAGCUCGCGCAGGUGGCCCCGGUGCCGCUGUUCAUCGGGCCGCGCGGGGAAGGCGGCGGCCAAGAUGCGCUCCGUCACGUAGGAUGAGCAAUACCCACAGCACUCCGUUCAAGGUCAUCUCCUGGGGGCCCUCUCUGGAGCCACCAGACCUCUGGACACCAUGGCCAGGUUCCUUGCCCUCCCCACCCCAUCCCAGAGCGCACUCACCAACUCCACGGGAGGCAAGGCCUGACAGGCUGAAGUCACCUGGAAGGGGACCGAUGCCUGGUACUGGAUAGGAACUUCAUGGAAUGGAGCUAAUGGGCCGUAGGGCAGGUUUGAGUCGUGCCACCCUGGAGCAGAAGGUGGAGGGUAGGGAUAAGGGUGGAGAGAAACUAGGAGAAAAGCACAGGAUGUAGAGGUCUAUUCGGCAUAAUCUUCUCCCUCAUUUUCAUCUUCACCAUCAACAGAGAGAGCAGCAUACUUGCUUGCAGAACUGAACUUCUGUAACACAACGAGAGUGACAGGAUAAUGAAGGCCCUGAAUUAUCACAUCAAAACCCAAGACACAGGAUACUGAUCCUUUGGCAAUGGGGGAUGACAGUCAGAUGACACCCACUUGCUUGCUCAUCAGCAUUGUCCAUUGGAGAGGAGCUAGGGAAGAGGGUCAGAGGCACAUGCGAUCUUACUAUAGUCUCAUACCACCUCUACACCUUGCAGAAGGGAUGAGAACAAAGGAAGACAGAAACCAGGAAAAAGCUAAACUUCUUUCGCUAUUUCAGUAAAGACCAAUGUCUUAUUUCCAAACACUUUGUAUUCCAAAUGGAAAGAAGUCCAACGGCAAAAAGUUUAGAAUACUAAGAAUUUUUAAUUCUUAGUAAGAAUACUUAGAAUUCUAAGAAUUUUUCUUAGAAUGAAAAAUUGGGAGCAGCCUUCAACACUUACGGAAGCUGGAUUUUCCUCAGGUUUCUUUGGCUCAGGUGCAGAUCUGGAGUCUUGAUCCUUUUUGCCAUCUUUCCUGCAGAGACGUAAGCAUAAAACCAUGUCUUUAGGAAAGGACUCGCCUAAUACAAACAUGUGUAUGCAUGCAGUUUCAAGGCACUGAACAGGCACCUCUAGUCAACAGUCCUUGUUGUCUGGAUGAUGUAUUACUUCUAGAUUUUCAGAAUCUUAACUGUCUACGUUGGCUGACUUUAGUUUGCUCACAAUGAGCGAUCUGGCAGUGCUCUGAGAACCAAGAACUUAAUUUCUUAAUUACACAAACAUGUGGAUCAGAGGAAAGAUGAGAAAGAGAACAAGCAUACCUAUCUGACUCCUUCCAGUGGUCUCUGUUCCCUCCGUCGCCUGGACCACGGCUAGAGUUCCCAGUUUGGCCUUUUGGGGCAUUCAUCCCAUCUACUUUAUUUUCAUCUGCUUGGGCAGUAAUGUAAACAAAUUAAAGGCAAGUAAAAGUAUCAAUGUCCCUCUCCUAAGAUUUCCCUUAAGCUGAAGAAAAUUGUGCCCACAUGUACUGAGGGAAACUAACCUCACCCCAACCCAGACUUCCUUCCUGAAGCCCUUCUUUCCACAUCCUCUACAGCACACAAAAAUACAAAAAACAAACAAAAUCCACUAAAAAGUUCCAUGUA